GCAAGUCGAGCGAACCGACGGGAGCUUGCUCCCUUAGGUCAGCGGCGGACGGGUGAGUAACACGUGGGUAACCUGCCUGUAAGACUGGGAUAACUCCGGGAAACCGGGGCUAAUACCGGAUGCUUGAUUGAACCGCAUGGUUCAAUCAUAAAAGGCGGCUUCGGCUGCCGUUUACAGAUGGACCCGCGGCGCAUUAGCUAGUUGGUGAGGUAACGGCUCACCAAGGCGACGAUGCGUAGCCGACCUGAGAGGGUGAUCGGCCACACUGGGACUGAGACACGGCCCAGACUCCUACGGGAGGCAGCAGUAGGGAAUCUUCCGCAAUGGACGAAAGUCUGACGGAGCAACGCCGCGUGAGUGAUGAAGGUUUUCGGAUCGUAAAGCUCUGUUGUUAGGGAAGAACAAGUACCGUUCGAAUAGGGCGGUACCUUGACGGUACCUAACCAGAAAGCCACGGCUAACUACGUGCCAGCAGCCGCGGUAAUACGUAGGUGGCAAGCGUUGUCCGGAAUUAUUGGGCGUAAAGCGCGCGCAGGCGGUUUCUUAAGUCUGAUGUGAAAGCCCCCGGCUCAACCGGGGAGGGUCAUUGGAAACUGGGGAACUUGAGUGCAGAAGAGGAGAGUGGAAUUCCACGUGUAGCGGUGAAAUGCGUAGAGAUGUGGAGGAACACCAGUGGCGAAGGCGACUCUCUGGUCUGUAACUGACGCU
rnacentral:rRNA from 1 species